rnacentral:rRNA from 1 species
AUUGAACGCUGGCGGCAGGCUUAACACAUGCAAGUCGAGCGGGGUGAUGUAGCUUGCUACAUUACCUAGCGGCGGACGGGUGAGUAAUGCUUAGGAAUCUGCCUAUUAGUGGGGGACAACAUUCCGAAAGGAAUGCUAAUACCGCAUACGCCCUACGGGGGAAAGCAGGGGAUCUUCGGACCUUGCGCUAAUAGAUGAGCCUAAGUCAGAUUAGCUAGUUGGUGGGGUAAAGGCCUACCAAGGCGACGAUCUGUAGCGGGUCUGAGAGGAUGAUCCGCCACACUGGGACUGAGACACGGCCCAGACUCCUACGGGAGGCAGCAGUGGGGAAUAUUGGACAAUGGGCGAAAGCCUGAUCCAGCCAUGCCGCGUGUGUGAAGAAGGCCUUUUGGUUGUAAAGCACUUUAAGCGAGGAGGAGGCUACUUAGAUUAAUACUCUUGGAUAGUGGAC